AACCUGCUCAUGUGUAUAAUUUGGUACAUUUAAAUAUUAAUAACGUUUUCGUUUUAUGAAAUUUCCCAAUUCAAUAAAACCCUAAAACCAAACAUCAAAAACAUAAAUCAGUGUUUGUGUGAACGAUCACGGCCAUAGUCGUCGUGCUCUUCUUUCACUGAUCACAGUGAGAAGUAAUGGCGGAGCACUUGGCUUCCAUUUUCGGGACAGAGAAAGAUAGAGUCAACUGCCCUUUUUACUUCAAGAUCGGAGCUUGUAGACAUGGCGACCGCUGCUCACGUCUCCACACUAAGCCAAGUAUUAGCCCAACCCUACUCCUCUCGAAUAUGUACCAGAGACCUGAUAUGCUCACUACCCCUGGUGUCGAUACCCAAGGACAGUCCCUUGACCCUCGCAAGAUCCAAGACAACUUUGAGGAUUUUUAUGAAGAUCUAUUUGAGGAGCUGAGCAAGCAUGGGCAAAUUGAGAGCUUGAAUAUCUGUGAUAAUUUGGCUGAUCACAUGGUGGGAAAUGUUUAUGUUCAGUUCAGAGAGGAAGAGCAUGCUGCUGCUGCUCUUCAAAGCCUGACUGGAAGGUUCUAUGCAGGGCGUCCCAUUAUUGUUGACUUCUCACCGGUGACGGAUUUUCGUGAAGCCACAUGUAGGCAGUAUGAGGAAAAUGUAUGCAGCAGAGGUGGAUACUGCAACUUCAUGCAUUUGAAGAAGAUUAGCAGGGAGUUGAGAAGAAAACUAUUUGGAAGGAACAGACGGAGACGUAGUCACAGCAGAAGCAGAAGUCAUAGUCCUAGUAGGAACCGUGGUUAUGAAGAACGACCCCAUGGAGGUCCACAUGGAGGUCCUCAUGGAGGCCUGCAUGGAGGUCGUGGUUCUGGUAGAAGAGAUGAUGACAGGGAUCACCGAUCCCAUGAUAGGAGACGGCCCAGAAGCCGUAGUCCAGGGCCAGGUGCAGUUGCAGGUCGCAGGGGAAGAAGUAGAAGCCCCGGAGGACGGAGGAAUAGGAGCCCGCCAGCCAGGGAAAGCAGUGCUGAAAGAAGGGCUAAAAUUGAACAAUGGAACAGGGAAAAGGAGCAGGGAGGAGGAUCUGAUGAAAAACACAAUAAUAAUGGUGACAAUGAAAAUGAAAAUGAAUUUGAAAAUGAGAAGAAUGGUUAUGCACAGAAUUCAAGUCAUUAUGAUGAUGAUUAUCAGCAGCAGCAGCAAUAGUUUGGCGGACCUAAAUAACUGAUAUAAUUGGACUUUUCUGGUUUGUCCCUUCAUUUUUAUCUGGUAAACCUUUUCCUCCCUUAAGGAAUCUAUACACCCUCGCUCUACCCUCUAUUUUGAUAGGCGGCUUAUAGAUUCUCCAGGAAGAUGCCGUUUUUAAAUUGUGGAAUUAUUAUUUUUUUUUUCUUUUGAUAUUUGUGACAUGUUUUAAGCCUAUGAAAACUUUUAGAAAUAGAUUUUUGUAAUUUUAAUUUGAAGAGCAAUGUGGUGCCUAAUAUUGAUAUUUUUGUGGUUUUAAUGUUAAACGAGUCUUUGCUACAUCGAAAA